rnacentral:SRP_RNA from 1 species
GCCGGGUGCGGUGGCGCGUGCCUGUGGUCCCAGCUACCCGGGAGGCUGUGGCUGGAGGCUGCUUCAGUCAGGAGUUCUGGGCUGCAGUGCGCUAAGCCAAUGGGGUGUCUGCACUGAGUUCGGCAUCAAUAUGGUGACCUCCCAGGAGCAGGGGACCACCAGGUUGCCUAAGGAGGGGUGAACCGGCCCAGGUCGGAAAUGGAGCAGGUCAAAACUCCCGUGCUGAUCAGUAGUGGGAUCGCACCUGUGAAUAGCCACUGCACUCCAGCCUGGGCAACAUAGCAAGACCCCGUCUCU